GAUAAACGCUGGCGGCGCACAUAAGACAUGCAAGUUGAACGGACUUAAUCGAAAUAUUUAUAUUUUGAAGCGGUUAGUGGCGGACUGGUGAGUAACGCGUAAGGAACCUGCCUAUUAGAGGGGAAUAACAGUGAGAAAUCAUUGCUAAUACCGCAUAUGCCAUAGAUAUCACAUGAUAACAGUGGGAAAGGAGCAAUCCGCUAAUAGAUGGCCUUGCGUCUGAUUAGAUAGUUGGUGGGGUAACGGCCUACCAAGUCGACGAUCAGUAGCCGGACUGAGAGGUUGAACGGCCACAUUGGGACUGAGAUACGGCCCAGACUCCUACGGGAGGCAGCAGUCGGGAAUAUUGCGCAAUGGAGGGAACUCUGACGCAGUGACGCCGCGUAGAGGAAGAAGGUUUUCGGAUUGUAAACUAUUGUCGUUAGGGAAGAGAAAGGACAGUACCUAAGGAGGAAGCUCCGGCUAACUACGUG
rnacentral:rRNA from 1 species